AGUGGGGAAUUUUCCGCAAUGGGCGAGAGCCUGACGGAGCAAGACCGCGUGGGGGAAGAAGGCUCUUGGGUUGUAAACCCCCUUUCUCUGGGAAGAAAGUUGUGAAAGCAACCUGACGGUACCAGAGGAAUCAGCAUCGGCUAACUCCGUGCCAGCAGCCGCGGUAAGACGGAGGAUGCAAGCGUUAUCCGGAAUGAUUGGGCGUAAAGCGUCCGCAGGUGGCAGUUCAAGUCUGCUGUCAAAGACCGGGGCUUAACUUCGGAAAGGCAGUGGAAACUGAACAGCUAGAGUAUGGUAGGGGCAGAGGGAAUUCCUGGUGUAGCGGUGAAAUGCGUAGAGAUCAGGAAGAACAUCGGUGGCGAAGGCGCUCUGCUGGACCAUAACUGACACUCAGGGACGAAAGCUAGGGGAGCGAAUGGGAUUAGAUACCCCAGUAGUCCUAGCCGUAAACGAUGGAUACUAGGUGUUGUCUGUAUCGAC
rnacentral:rRNA from 1 species